AAUUUUACAAAACCUAAAUAACCAUAAACCAUCAGCAUCUUGAAUGUCUUCCACCGAGUAAAAUGUAUACGGAGAACCUGCAAAUUAACCAAAGGAUCAACAACACUAUAACUUCCUCUGAAAGCGCAAGCGAAACAUUCAUGCAAGUAGAGCUGGCAAAAUUUAACACGACCUGAUUACCCGACACAAACACGACAUAAAUAAAUGAGUAUGGGUCGUCAAAUUUAACACGAUUAUUAAAUGGAUCGGGUCCGGAUCAACACGAUUUUUUUCCGUGUCGGGUUUGGGUUAAAAUUCUUGACCCAUUUACCCGAUCAAUGACCCGAUUAUAUUUUCUAUUUUAAAAUAAUUUACAUAUUCUUAUCAUUAAAACUCAAAUAUUAAAGAUGAUUUUAUUUUUUUAUUCUUUAAAAAGGUGAAUAUAAACACAGUGUUUUAUUUAUAAAAUUUUAAAUACAUUUAGAGCUUCAAUAGCGUAAAUGUGUAAAAAUUAAUAGACAUAUAUAUUUUAUAAUAUUGAUAUAUAAUACUAUUUUAUUAAAGCAAUCAAUAAAGAGUUUUUACGAAAACACAUCCAUCCUUCGAUCAUAUUUCCAAUUAAAACCUCAAUAGUGUAAAUGUGUAAUAUAUUGGUAGAUAUGUAUAUUUUAUAAUAUCGAUAAAUUAUGUAUGUAUGUAUGUACAUACGUAUGUAUGAUAGUAUGUAAAUAUUUGAUGUAACGUUAUUCACUAUAUAGAUAUUAAACUUAAACUAAUUUUUUUUUAACUUUUUGCUUAACCUAAAAAGUUUGAAUGACUGCUGUACGGCCAAGGCGGAUGUACGGUACAGCAGCGACCUAAAUUUGAUACGACACGAAGCUGACACGACACGAACACGACCCGAUGACCCGUUUUGCCAGCUCUACAUGCAAGACAACUUCAUCAAACACUUAACCCAUCGAUUCUGCAACAACCAACCAUUUAACAUGGGGCCACCUGAAUGAUGAAUAACCAACAUAAAUUUAAUUACACGCCGAAAAAUUUUUCUAACCCUCCUCAGAAUCAUUUUCAGUUUACCAGAACUCACCCAGAUGGUCUUAAAACUGCCCCCACAUGCAGAAGUCUACGAUUACCCUUCAAAAAGGCCUUCUGAAUUAGCUUCCACAGAAAUUAGCCAUGCUGAAAGAACAAAAAAAUGGUACUCAAAUUUACAUACCAUCACUGUUAUAUUUAAAGACUUAUUUACAAACCAUAUGCACAUAGGCAUAAAAAAUG
rnacentral:lncRNA from 1 species